rnacentral:lncRNA from 1 species
AGCCUGGCCAACAUGGGGAAACUCCCUCUCUACUAAAAAUACAAAAGUUAGCUGGGCAUGGUGGCAGGUGCCUGUAAUCCCAGCUACUCAGGAGGCUGAGGCAGGAGAAUCAUUUGAACCCGGGAGGCGGAGGUUGGAGUAGGCCGAGAUCGUGCCACUGCACUCCAGCCUGGGCAACAGAGCGAGACUCCAUCUCAAAAAAAAAAAAAAAAAGGAAGAAAGAAAAAGAAAAAAGAAACAUGCAUUUUGCGUGCAUCUGAGUCAGGACCUGGCAUGUAAUUCUUGUUAACCCCUCGAGGACAGUUCAAAGCCACAGCCUCCAGCCAGACAG